UACGUAGGGUGCAAGCGUUAAUCGGAAUUACUGGGCGUAAAGCGUGCGCAGGCGGUUUUGUAAGUCUGUCGUGAAAUCCCCGGGCUCAACCUGGGAAUUGCGAUGGAGACUGCAAGGCUAGAAUCUGGCAGAGGGGGGUAGAAUUCCGACGUGUAGCAGUUGAAAUGCGUAGAGAUGUGGAGGAACACCGAUGGCGAAGGCAGCCCCCUGGGUCAAGAUUGACGCUCAUGCACGAAAGCGUUGGGGAGCAAACAGGG
rnacentral:rRNA from 1 species